AAAUCGGAUCAAAACUACAGAGGAAUUUAAUAGAAUGUACGUAAAGCAUUAGUUUAAACUUCUGUUCGAAGUUUAUCGCGUGAUUACACUGACGUUGCAAGCAACCGACUGAACAUGGCGGAAGGAGGCGCCGAUCGUUACAUGUCAGAAACUGAACGCAGCUUGCACAGUCGUCACUCCCAGGUGAUCACAAAAACGCAAGCGUAGAAUAAAUCUUUCGCUUAUCAACCUAAACGACGCAGGUUGGACAUGGCCAGCAAACAAGUGGUACAGGCGACGGAUUCUAAAUGCCGAUCACUUAAUCACGAAGAUGAUACUCUUCGAGCGACUACAGUCUGGACGCCUACACGUAGUCCCCGGGAUCCUUAUUGUAGUCCCCGAGAACAGGGCGUGAGGUCCACAAACUCUUGGACAACGACAAAGAAGAGGAAGCAAAGAAUGAACAGAUAGGCAGCAUUUUGACAGAAAGGCGACCAAUAAGCUUCUACACCGUGAACAAAGGUCCCUGGUUCCAACCAUGGUCAAGCCUUUCGAUCAAAAUUGAAGGCUGUUUUUACAGGUCACGGCUGGGACGCCAAGAACGUAUAAAUAUGAUGUGGGGUGAUUUGGAGAUGGGCAACUUGGCAGAUGGAACUAGAUACGUGUCCUACAUGGAGGGAGCCACAAAUACUAGGAAAGGCAUCAACACAGAUCACAGGAUGUUCAAACCAAAGAUAUUUGAAGAACCAGUAUUGGUUUGAGAGGUACUCUGAAGGAGCAGACUUUCAAGGGCUACACCGAGAUUACAUGGCAGACAGAAUGACUGAAUACGUAUUGCUAUUAAGAGCAGACAAUACGGUGAUGAACUAUAAUUAUUUAUUUGAACUUUUUAUACUGGGAAGAAAAUGUACUUGUCGCCAUGCAAACUUUACCUAUGUAAGCUACAAAGUUAAUGACUCAGUAGAUCAAUCGAGGUAAAUCUAACUCAAUUGUUUCAUCUGUAUUUUACAAUAUUAAAUUGUGUUAUUCUAUAAAUGAUGUUAAUGAUCCAAUGAAAAAUAGCCCUGUUAAGCAAUUAUUAGAAGCUUCAAAGCGUGUGUGUUCAAAACCAAUACACACGUUCAUCAAAGAUGAUAAAAUAAUUGUGAUUGAUAUAGAUGGAUUUUACUGAUGGGAUUGAUUUAAGCCAAUAAGCAACGGUUCUUUUAGGAUAUACAGGUUUAAUGCGUAUGAAUGAAACGCGUGAACGUCGUUGUAAUGUAGUACAAUUCAAAUCUGAUCAUUUGGAUAUUAGUGUGCGGAAUAGCAUAAUUUACAUGUAUACGAAUGGCUCGAAGAUUAUUAUCGUCAAAGGAAAUACUAUAUCUUUCCAGUAUGGCAUUUUAGAAAAUUAUACGUUAUCGACAAAAUUGUCUAAUUAAUCAAAUGAGCUAUUAUUCAAUCCAGUUUUUCAUUCUAAAUAUUAAUCAUCAUUGAUAAAGAAAGACAAAAAAUUAAGUUACACAAGAGCAAGAGAAUGUAUUGUUAAGACAUUGAAACUAGUUGAUCGUGAAUUUAAGCUUGGUUAGCACUCGCUGCGUACUAGUGGAGCCAUUAAUGUGUCAAACGCUUUGAACGUUUCCUUAAGAGGCAGAGUAGAGUGAAAACUGACAUAGCGAAAGGUGGUUUCGAUAGAUAACUAGCGGUUACAAAAACAAACUUGUAAAUUGCGAGCGUUUGUAAAUUCGUUUUGAACUACAGUUAAAAAAGAGGUAUGCAUUUGAAUGUGAUAUUAAAUCUACUAUUUUUUCCAUUGUCUAUAUGCGUCUCUCGCAAAUUGCACAAUUUUGUUGUAAUUUAUGUUUAUUUGGAAAAAAGUUAGGACUUUUAAGUACUGUGCGUUACAUUGUAUAGCGGAAUACUUUUUUUCCUGACGGACAUGAGUAAACAACCCGUUUUUAAUGUUGGUUUGUGAGUGGCCAUUUGAUCAGAAGUAAAUCGUUUUUGAAAUCGGUUCUAGCGAGAUCAUCUACAUGGUAACAUCAAUUUUAAAUUCAUAGCUUGUAAACGAUUAUACAUUUAGUGGGGCGAGCAUGCUUGGAUGUAACCCGUUAUGCCUGUACUCUGGAGAAUGGACACAAGUGCAAUACUACGGUUACACGUUUUUCUCUUCUCAUUUGUGGGGUCUUCCCACUGGGGUCGGUUUUCGUGGGCGGCUACCAUUCUUGUCAAUAAUAUAAUUGUAUGGUUAAUCUGAAGUUAAUCAUAAACAGAAGAGUAUUUAUCAUAAAGUGGUUCAAUUUAAAACCGAUAUGUCUAGUUUUGAACAAGUCGAAAUAUAACCGUAAAUUUAUUGCAGAUUUUUCCUGAAUAUGCAUUCAUGCACGGAAUACAAAUGUGAUUACAUGCAUGUCAAUUAUAUUUGUUAGUAUUUGAUAUUUUCGUAAAAGCGUAUCUGCCUUAUGAUAAAUAAAUAUGUUAAAAAACUGUGCAAAUGUAGUCACAAAUUUUGCGUCUCUCGCAAAUCGCACUACACAGCUGUUGUUAAUGUUUGUUUGGACCAUAGUUAUAGUUGUUCCAUUGUAUAAAAAAGUAAUAAAAAUGAUGUCGGCAACAACAGACCUGUAUCAAUUUUGUGUAUAGUUUCAAAAAUACUUGAAAGAAUUGUUUAUGACCAAGCAGAAAACUAUCUGAAUAAGCAGAAGUUAUUGUAUGAGUUUCAGUCAGGUUUUAGGAGAUCUUUCUCAACCGACACAUGUCUGAUACAUCUAUCUGACUAUAUAAGUUUUAACUUAGAUAAGAGUAAUUAUGUUGGCAUGGUUCUACUGGAUUUGCAAAAUGCGUUCGAUACUGUUGAUCAUAUUAUACUUUUUGAUAAACUGAAAAUGAUAGAGUUUUCCUCGGAUGUUAUUAGAUGGUUCGAAUCAUUCUUAUCUACUCGUAAACAAUGUACUGAUGAUUCUGGUAUACAAUCAUCAUUGGAAAAUGUCACUUGUGGUGUGCCCCAAGGCUCAAUACUUGGGUCGCUGCUAUUUUUAAUAUAUGUGAAUGACAUAGCAGGAGUUGUAAACAGUAAGCUUUUCUUAUAUGCUGAUGAUUCUGCUAUGCAGGUGUCUGGCAAAUCCAAACUUGAUAUUGAGUGUUUAUUAGCAAAGGAUCUGGAAAGAGGUAGUAACUGGUUAGUUGACAAUUCUUUACACCUGGGUAAAACAGUAUCAAUUUUAUUUGGCUCGAAACCUAAGUUAAAGAGGGAGCCGCACCUUAAUAUUUUGUGCACAGUCAUACAGCACACCGACUCAGUCAAAUAUUUGGGUGCUACUUUCGAUAAAUGUUUAAGUUGUUUUUGAGUAUGGUUACAUCGGUCAUUAAGAAGGCAAAUGCAAGACUUAAGUUCCUAUACAGAAAUCAACGGUUUUUAUCAUUAGAUACUAAACAAAUGUUAAGUAUGUCAUUGAUUCAAUGUCAUUUUGAUUAUGUCUGUUCUAUAUGGUAUUAUGGCAUUUAUCAGAAUCUGAAAAACAGACUCCAGGUCACACAGAACACGAUCAUUAGGUUUAUCUUCAGACUAGAUCAAAGAAGUCACAUCAAUAAAGAAUACUUUCUUCAGUUGGGCUGGUUACCUGUUGAAAAAAGAGUACAACAGAUUAUUCUUUACUAUGUUUUUAAAAUACACUCAGGUUCUGCUCUUACUUACUUUAAUGAGAAUUUUAUGCUUGCCAGUACUGUUCAUAACCAUAAAACUAGAUUUAGCAAAGGGUCAUGUUUCCGUAUCCCAAAAGGAAACGGGUUUGGCAAAAUUUCCUUCUCAUAUAAGGGAUGUUCUUUAUGGAACAGCGUACUAAUUGAUAUAAAAGAUUCCCCCAACUUACAGACAUUUAAGGUUGCAGUAAAAAAGCAUAUUUUAAAUAGGUUGUAGUUUAAUUAAUUAAGCCUGUAAUCUCCCUGUGAUGUUUAUUAUUAUAAAAAUGAUGUGCAUUUUUAUUCAAAUGUUCAUUUGCUAAGUUUACUAUCUUUAAGAACAAAGUUGUUGUGCCUUGCUAGGGCAUGUCAUCAUUCACCAGGACCACAAUGGAAGUAAAAUAAUUCCCAUUCCCUUUUUUGUGCUAUCCUGGGUAUGUGAGUAAUGCCCUGGUACACUAAGAGAGUAAUUAAUAUUUGAUUCACCAAUUUAAUAUGUUAACACAUGAUAUAAAAAGAAGCAAUAAUUAUGGGUUUUUUACCAAAAUGACUGCUAUCAAGUUGCUUUUAAGUUCUAGUCUUUUAGCUGAUGUGUGAUGUUUUACAUUUUUAUUUCAUGAAAUGUUGAAAUUUGUUAUUAUGUUGUGUACCAUGCUACAUGUAUUUUAUAUACUUAAAUAAAUCUAUCUAUUUAUAGGACAUAAAACACAAUAGUCUGUCUGUAUCUAGAACCUUGGAGUACUCUCAAAACAACUGAUUGACUGCAUCGAUUA